UACGUAGGUGGCAAGCGUUUGUCCGGAUUUAUUGGGUUUAAAGGGUGCGUAGGCGGUCUUUUAAGUCAGUGCUGAAAUACUCCAGCUUAACUGGAGGGGUGGCAUUGAUACUGGAAGACUUGAGUGCAGUCGAGGUAGGCGGAAUUUGACGGUGUAGCGGUGAAAUGCUUAGAUAUCGUCAAGAACACCGAUAGUGAAGACAGCUUACUAGGCUGCAACUGACGCUGAGGCACGAAAAGUGUGGGGAUCAAACAGG
rnacentral:rRNA from 1 species